rnacentral:rRNA from 1 species
GAUGAACGCUGGCGGCGUGCUUAACACAUGCAAGUCGAGCGAGAAGUUUUGAAAAGAUUCUUCGGAUGAAAUUUAAAAUGGAAAGCGGCGGACGGGUGAGUAACGCGUAGGCAACCUGCCCCAUACAAAGGGAUAGCAUUUGGAAACGAAUAUUAAUACCUUAUGAAACUUAACUAGUGCAUGCUAGGUAGGUCAAAGAUUUAUCGGUAUGGGAUGGGCCUGCGUCUGAUUAGCUAGUUGGUGAGGUAACGGCUCACCAAGGCGACGAUCAGUAGCCGACCUGAUAGGGUGAACGGCCACAUUGGAACUGAGACACGGUCCAAACUCCUACGGGAGUCAGCAGUGGAGAAUAUUGCACAAUGGGGGAAACCCUGAUGCAGCAACGCCGCGUGAACGAUGAAGGCCUUUGGGUCGUAAAGUUCUGUUCUAGGUGAUGAAAACUGACAGUAACCUAGGAGAAAGCCCCGGCUAACUCCGUG